UGAAUACGAGAUGCUACGGCGUCGAAGCAGUCUAUGUCAUACUUCCAAGAAAAGCUUGCACUGUCAUAAACAAAUAAUGCCUGUACCAUAACCGACACAGGUGGGUAGGUAGAGUAUACUAAGGGGCGCGAGAUAACUCUCUCUAAGGAACUCGGCAAAAUGACUCCGUAACUUCGGGAGAAGGAGUGCCUUAUUUAUAAGGUUGCAAUAACAAGAUCCAAGCAACUGUUUACCAAAAACACAGGUCUCCGCUAAGUCGUAAGACGAUGUAUGGGGGCUGACGCCUGCCCAGUGCCAGAAGGUUAAAGAAGUUGGUUAGCAUCCGCGAAGCUGAUAACUGAAGCCCUGGUGAACGGCGGCCGAAACGAUAACGGUCCUAAGGUAGCGAAAUUCCUUGUCGGGUAAGUUCCGACCCGCACGAAAGGCGUAAUGAUUUGGAUACUGUCUCGGAGAGGGGCUCGGUGAAAUAGACUUGUCUGUGAAGAUGCGGACUACCUGCACCAGGACAGAAAGACCCUAUGAAGCUUUACUGUAACCUGAAAUUGAAAUUGGACUUUACUUGCGCAGUAUAGGUGGGAGGCGUUGAGAAUAUUCUUGCGGGAUUAUUGGAGCCAUCAGUGAGAUACCACUCUUGUAAUGUUAGAUUUCUAACUUUGUAUCAUUAUCUGGUCAAAGAACAGUUUCAGGCGGGCAGUUUGACUGGGGCGGUCGCCUCCUAAACGGUAACGGAGGCGCACAAAGGUUUCCUCUGAACGGGUAGAAAUCGUAUCUAGAGUGUAAAGGCAUAAGGAAGCUUGACUGUGAGACCUACAAGUCGAGCAGGGACGAAAGUCGGUCUUAGUGAUCUGACGGUGCUGAGUGGAAAGGCCGUCACUCAACGGAUAAAAGUUACUCUAGGAUAACAGGCUGAUCUCCCCCAAGAGUUCACAUCGACGGGGAGGUUUGGCACCUCGAUGUCGGCUCAUCGCAUCCUGGGGCGGUAGUACGUCCCAAGGGUUGGGCUGUUCGCCCAUGAAAGCGGUACGCGAGCUGGGUUCAGAACGUCGUGAGACAGUUCGGUCCAUAUCCGGUGUAGGCGUUAGAAUAUUGAGAGGAGCCUUCUUUAGUACGAGAGGACCGAGAAGGACAUACCUCUGGUGUACCAGUUAUCGUGCCAACGGUAAACGCUGGGUAGCUAUGUGUGGAGUGGAUAACCGCUGAAAGCAUCUAAGUGGGAAGCCCACCUCAAGAUAAG
rnacentral:rRNA from 1 species